rnacentral:rRNA from 1 species
GAGUUUGAUCGUGGCUCAGAUUGAACGCUGGCGGCAGGCCUAACACAUGCAAGUCGAGCGGUAGAGAGAAGCUUGCUUCUCUUGAGAGCGGCGGACGGGUGAGUAAUGCCUAGGAAUCUGCCUGGUAGUGGGGGAUAACGCUCGGAAACGGACGCUAAUACCGCAUACGUCCUACGGGAGAAAGCAGGGGACCUUCGGGCCUUGCGCUAUCAGAUGAGCCUAGGUCGGAUUAGCUAGUUGGUGAGGUAAUGGCUCACCAAAGGCGACGAUCCGUAACUGGUCUGAGAGGAUGAUCAGUCACACUGGAACUGAGACACGGUCCAGACUCCUACGGGAGGCAGCAGUGGGGAAUAUUGGACAAUGGGCGAAAGCCUGAUCCAGCCAUGCCGCGUGUGUGAAGAAGGUCUUCGGAUUGUAAAGCACUUUAAGUGGAGGAAGGCAGUAAAUUAAUACUUUGCAGUUUUGACGUUACGACAGAAUAAGCACGGCU